AUUCAUUUCAAGGAGGGAGGAGGAGGGGAAGGCUACAAUUCAAAAUUUCCUGAAUCCAUAUCUGCUCAGCACUACAUUGCAUUUGGAGGAACCAUGAUGACCAUGCAGGAGAAGAACCUUCAGAGCAAGUCUCCUGUCCCCCAGGAUCCAACUUCUACCUAUUCUUAGUCUCAUUCAGGCCACUUACCAAAAUGGACCAUUAGACUUCAUCAGGGGCCAUGGCUUUGAAAAAGAAGAUAAGUCUGAUAUGAUAAAAUAGUGUAUUCAUUCUAGAGUCAAAGGACCUGAGUUCAAAUCUCUCCUGGGACAUAUUUCCUAUGUGAGCUCAGGCAAGUUACCAAACUUCCCUCAAUGUCAGUUUCUUCCUCUCUACAAUGAAUGUGAAGUGCGGAUGGCCUCCAACAACUGAUUUUCAGCAAGUGUUUUAUGAUAGAUGCAAUCCAUCAGAAAUUUUAUCUCUGGAAUCAAGAAAGCAUUCAGACCUAACAGUUUAUAGAUAAGAAAACUGAGGAAGAUAAAGUUUAAGUGAUUUCCUAUUGACUAGGGAGAAGAUAGAUCCAUCUUCCAUCUAGUGUCUGGGCAUCUACAGAUUGGUGAGUUGUUUCCACUUGGUUGUUUCCAUCUUU
rnacentral:lncRNA from 1 species